UCGGGAAUUUUGGGCAAUGGGCGAAAGCCUGACCCAGCAACGCCGCGUGAAGGAUGAAAUCCUUCGGGAUGUAAACUUCGCAAGAACAGGAAGAAUAAGUCUGCGCAAAUAUCGCAGAUGAUGACGGUACUGUUUGUAAGCUCCGGCUAACUCCGUGCCAGCAGCCGCGGUAAUACGGGGGGAGCAAGCGUUGUUCGGAUUUACUGGGCGUAAAGGGCGCGUAGGCGGCCACCGCAAGUCGACUGUGAAAUCUCCGGGCUUAACCCGGAACGGUCAGCCGAUACUGCGGGGCUAGAGUGCAGAAGGGGCAACUGGAAUUCUCGGUGUAGCGGUGAAAUGCGUAGAUAUCGAGAGGAACACCUGCGGCGAAGGCGGGUUGCUGGGCUGACACUGACGCUGACAGUGCGAAAGCUAGGGGAGCGAA
rnacentral:rRNA from 1 species